UUUCAUAUAGCAAUGAAACUAUGAUACAUAUAAUUUUAUUAAAAUUAAUUUCUACAUAAUUAUUAUAAAUUUAUGUUGUGGGAUUUUGUUGGUCUGUCUAAAAAAUAGAAGAAAGGAGAAUAAAUACUAGUUAGCAUUUAAUAUGAAUCCAUUUGACGAAAAUCACCAAUCACCGGUACGAGAAAAUGAUAUAACCGUCGUACAAAAUUCGCUUAUAUUUAUAUAGAGGUAAACAAAUAACAUUUACAACAUCAUUUGUGGGAUUCCGCUUACGGCGGUGAUUCACGUAAGUUUGAGUUUUUUUAAUAUCCCAGUCAUCUAUAUGCACUUAGAGUUGAUUAUCAUUUCAACUUCUGCACAUGUAAUAAAAAAAAAUAUGUAGGUAGGUAUAUAUCUAUGAAAACAUAUUAUAAUAUAUAUAUAUGUAUAACUAAUCAUGGACUCAGAUAGAUCACAUAAUAAUAUACAUUAUACAUACCUAUACGAUUUACCAACAUCUACCUACAUAUUAUUAUACCUAUAAGCAAAUACGUCAUAUAAUAUUAUGUUUUAAUAGAAUUAUAUUAUAUUAUUAUGUACGGGGAUGUUUGCUCUCGUCCGAUCUGAUAAUGUGUACACUAUGGUUGGUGGCACGCUGAAGAAAAAAACUGUUAGCACGAAGAAUGCCGAUUAAUAAAAAAGAAAAAUAAUGAUAAUAUAAUAAUGCAUCGAACGAGAAGCAGCUGAUUCAUCAGAAACCAACAAUGUGCCAGUGAUUGCAUCGUUUAAAUAAACAUGUGGUUGUGCAGCAUUGGGGCUUCGGAUGCAGUGUGUCUCCGUCCUCCGUCAUGUGAGGUGAAAGUCUCAACUGGAUAUGUAAAUCCCAAUCAUGCCCUUUUUAAAUAUGCAUUUUCCGUGGCUAUACAAUUUUUUGAAGAACCGCUUUCGUUUUAAAAAUAUGAAAAUCACGAUGACCAGAUGAAAUCAAUCGAAUUUAUAAUGCGUCUCUUUUAAAGUGUAAUCGUUUG